AGUAAGCAGACCCAGUCAAACAGCAAAUACAAUGACUGAAACAAUGUAAAUAGAAUGAUUAUGCACAUGGAAACACUCAAUCUGACUGGACACUAACUGUAAUGGCCAAGCUAGGCUCUGAAAAAAAAAAGAUGAAAAAAUGUUCCUUCCUCACUUUGAAGAGGGCACCAAAACUGAACUGCCUUUUCACAUCUGGAUUCCCUCCUAGACUCACUCAAAGAAAAUGACCUUCCCUUACUGCUAGUGGAAAUUUUGUGUUAUUAUUGCUGUCUCAGUAAACUGUGGUGUAUAAAAGUGGAAGCUAGGGCUUUGGACAAACCAUGGCCCUUCAGCCAGUGACCAGACCAAAAAUAAAAAUUCAUGUACCAGAGAUAGUAUGUUUGCCAGGACAGGGAGGUCGAGAGAGAGGAGGAUUGGGCUGGAAAGAACAUUGAGCGAAGAAUCAACACUGUUAGAUUCUAGCUUUAUAAUCUACAUUUCUAACUUAUGUGA